UACGUAGGGUGCGAGCGUUGUCCGGAAUUACUGGGCGUAAAGAGCUCGUAGGUGGUUUGUCACGUCGUCUGUGAAAUUCCGGGGCUUAACCUCGGGCGUGCAGGCGAUACGGGCAAUACUUGAGUGCUGUAGGGGAGACUGGAAUUCCUGGUGUAGCGGUGAAAUGCGUAGAUAUCAUGAGGAACACCAGUGGCGAAGGCAGGUCUCUGGGCCACUACUGACGCUGAGAAGCGAAAGCAUGGGGAGCGAACAGGAUUAGAUA
rnacentral:rRNA from 1 species